GCCUGCCGGAACUGUCGUACGGGUACGUGAGCUAUGCUCAAUCAGCACUUUAUACACUAAUAUCACAUAAUAUUUGGUCGACAAGUGCCCUGUUCUGUUGCGAGAAGAAAGACAAAGUACGGUAUUAGUAAUCACAGUAAUGAGAUUGCAGGAG
rfam:Candidatus Saccharibacteria bacterium GW2011_GWC2_48_9 TY35_C0014, whole genome shotgun sequence.